CAGCCGCUUUAUUUUUCAAAGUAGAGCGUCUGGAUGACAAGUGAUAUAAAAAUGGUAAUUUAUGACAUUCGGAAUAGUAUCGGCUUUUUUAGCUUGUUGUCAAAGAUAAUGUCCAAGACGAAUAACCAAGAAGUUGGUUAUUGACUUCGGAAGAAAUGACAUUACGAUAAUAUUAUUGAAAAGCCCGAGUGUACCGAUUGUUGUUUAAAGCUAUUUAUAUAUUUUUGUGACGAAAUACAAUUCAUGGAAAACACCGUACAGCAUGGCUGAUAUGGACAUGGAGGCGAAGGAAUAAACCAGCACAUCCAACCUUGGUAAGAUGUUAUAACAACACACACUGUAACAUAAAUUGCAAUGCAAACCUGAUACACCGAGUAGUUAUAUUCUUUCAUGCAUGUCCGUGCAACGAAAACGAGUUUAUAAUUAUACAAUAAAUGUCAAUUGUUAUGUUGACUGGGACCACUCGAACAGUCGUAUACGUUAUAAAUACAUUUUGGGUUGAUGUUUAGUAUCGUUUACUUUAUAAAUACUUGAUGGAAAACUGCUAAGACGCCGAAAUAUCACCUUCAUCCAAGAUAUGUUUGUUGUAUCUAUCUAAAUCUUGAUAUGUGUAAACAUGGUAAAGACAAAGAGGG
rnacentral:lncRNA from 1 species